rnacentral:rRNA from 1 species
GGGACAUUUCGGGUAGCAAUAUUCGGAAUGUUCGGCGGCGCAAGGGUGCGUAACGCGUGGGUAAUUUACCGUGAAGCCUGGGAUAACUCGCUGAAAGGCGAGCUAAUACCGGAUGUGACGUUUGGGAGGCAUCUUCUGAACUUUAAAGCUGGGGAUCGUAAGACCUGGCACUUCAUGAUAAGCCCGCGACCUAUCAGCUAGUUGGUGAGGUAACGGCUCACCAAGGCUAAGACGGGUAGCUGGUCUGAGAGGACGACCAGCCACACUGGAACUGAGACACGGUCCAGACACCUACGGGUGGCAGCAGUCGAGAAUUUUUCACAAUGGGGGAAACCCUGAUGGAGCGACGCCGCGUGGGGGAUGAAUGGCUUCGGCCCGUAAACCCCUGUCAUCUGGGAACAAUGCUUCCGACCUAACACGUCUGGAGUUGAUAGUACCGGAAGAGGAAGGGACGGCUAACUCUGUGCCAGCAGCCGCGGUAAUACAGAGGUCCCAGGCGUUGUUCGGAUUCACUGGGCGUAAAGGGUGCGUAGGCGGUCGGGUAAGUCUGAUGUGAAAGCUCGGAGCUCAACUCCGAAAUGGCAUCGGAAACUAUCCGGCUCGAGGAAUGGAGGGGAGACUGGAAUGCUCGGUGUAGCAGUGAAAUGCGUAGAUAUCGAGCGGAACACCAGUGGCGAAGGCGAGUCUCUGGACAUUUCCUGACGCUGAGGCACGAAAGCCAGGGGAGCAAACGGGAUUAGAUACCCCGGUAGUCCUGGCCCUAAACGGUGCACGUUUGCUGUGAGAGGAAUCGA